UGGGCAAUUCUUGCUCAGCUGGCCUCCCCACUCGCUGAGGUCAGGGAUUGAGCCUGGACACACAGCAGGCCUCAAGGGAUUGGAUGAUGCCCACCCGCAUUGAUGAGCAUGGAUCUUCUUUACACAGUCUAUUUAUUCAAAUGCUAAUCUCUUCUGGAAACAGCCUCACAGACGCAACCAGAAAUAAUGUUUCACCAGCUAUCUAAGUAUCCCUUAACCCAGUUGAGUUAACAAAUAAUAACCAUCACAGAGGGCUUGAUAUGGGUGCCUGAAAGUUUGGGAAACAUAGUGAUAGGAGUCUGCUCCAUGUUGAAGAGGUCUGAUGGAAAGCCACUGUGGCUGGAAGGGUCUGGGGCAGUAAAAGGGACAACGAGGUGCACACGAGGGUAAGCUGCCCUAUUGCCAGCAAGGAUAUAGGUGAGCGCCUGUGUGCUAGCAUCUGGCUGUGCAACUCCUUCAAAGAAGCAGGCCCGGAGGGGCAGUAUGGCCUCAAGAGGAUCCCCAGAGGCCCAGCGGCUAAGGAAGUAUCUGGAGGUGAUCAGCCAAGGCUGAUGAUGGAGUUCCCAGCAAGGGACUCAUCCAAGAACCCAUGACAGCCCCAUAUCAGAAAGAGCUGGAUUUUAUCUACCAACUCCAUGGAGAACAACACCAGGUCCCAGAUGCUGUGCUGCAGGAGGGGCUGGACAUCCUGCCCUUGAUCCCCUGCCUCUCUGGGCUUCGCCCUAAGGGGUCAGAAUCCAAAGUCAUGCAUGAAGUUGGAGAGCAGAGGUCAGGAGAGAGGUAGGUUGCCUCUCCCCUUCAAGGCCAGUGACAUUCCAGCCCCAACUGCUGGAGGAGACUGGCUAGAAAUGGGACGAGACUGUGGUCUUAACUGGACUGGAUGUUCUAACUGGUGAAAAUAAGACUCUUGGUUACUCAAGUGAUUACCCAAGAGUAGCAGAAAAAUGGGAUGCCAUGGACCUGUGGAGACUUCAUUCUAUGCAGGGAAAGAACCACGCCCUUCAAGUAGGUUUACAUUUUGGUAUUUUGUACAUCAUGGACCUCUUUUUGGUAUUCACUCUGAUGUUUAAAAAUACUGCAUUAAACUAUGACUUAUUUUGAUUACUGAGA